rnacentral:rRNA from 1 species
GUGUGCAACCUGCCUUUAUCUGAGGGAUAGCCUUUCGAAAGGAAGAUUAAUACCUCAUAAUAUACUGAUUGGCAUCAAUUAGUAUUGAAAGCUCCGGCGGAUAGAGAUGGGCACGCGCAAGAUUAGAUAGUUGGUGAGGUAACGGCUCACCAAGUCAAUGAUCUUUAGGGGGCCUGAGAGGGUGAUCCCCCACACUGGUACUGAGACACGGACCAGACUCCUACGGGAGGCAGCAGUGAGGAAUAUUGGACAAUGGGUGCAAGCCUGAUCCAGCCAUCCCGCGUGAAGGACGACGGCCCUAUGGGUUGUAAACUUCUUUUGUACAGGGAUAAACCUACCCUCGUGAGGGUAGCUGAAGGUACUGUACGAAUAAGCACCGGCUAACUCCGUGCCAGCAGCCGCGGUAAUACGGAGGGUGCAAGCGUUAUCCGGAUUUAUUGGGUUUAAAGGGUCCGCAGGCGGGCUAGUAAGUCAGUGGUGAAAGCCUACAGCUUAACUGUAGAACUGCCGUUGAUACUGCUAGUCUUGAGUAUAGUUGAGGUAGCUGGAAUGAGUAGUGUAGCGGUGAAAUGCAUAGAUAUUACUCAGAACACCGAUUGCGAAGGCAGGUUACCAAGUUAUAACUGACGCUGAGGGACGAAAGCGUGGGGAGCGAACAGGAUUAGAUACCCUGGUAGUCCACGCCGUAAACGAUGCUAACUCGUUUUUGGGCUUUAGGGUUCAGAGACUAAGCGAAAGUGAUAAGUUAGCCACCUGGGGAGUACGACCGCAAGGUUGAAACUCAAAGGAAUUGACGGGGGCCCGCACAAGCGGUGGAUCAUGUGGUUUAAUUCGAUGAUACGCGAGGAACCUUACCAAGGCUUAAAUGGGAAUUGACAGCUGUAGAAAUACGGUUUUCUUCGGACAAUUUUCAAGGUGCUGCAUGGUUGUCGUCAGCUCGUGCCGUGAGGUGUUAGGUUAAGUCCUGCAACGAGCGCAACCCCUGUCACUAGUUGCCAUCAUUAAGUUGGGGACUCUAGUGAGACUGCCUACGCAAGUAGAGAGGAAGGUGGGGAUGACGUCAAAUCAUCACGGCCCUUACGCCUUGGGCCACACACGUGAUACAAUGGCCGGUACAGAGGGCAGCUACACUGCGAAGUGAUGCAAAUCUCGAAAGCCGGUCUCAGUUCGGAUUGGAGUCUGCAACUCGACUCUAUGAAGCUGGAAUCGCUAGUA